rnacentral:rRNA from 1 species
GCUUGUCUCAAAGAUUAAGCCAUGCAUGUCUAAGUAUAAACUAAUUUAUACGGUGAAACUGCGAAUGGCUCAUUAAAUCAGUUAUAGUUUAUUUGAUGGUUGAUUACUACGUGGAUAACCGUGGUAAUUCUAGAGCUAAUACAUGCCUACAAGCCCGACUUCUGGAAGGGGUGUAUUUAUUAGAUGGAAACCAAUGCGGGGCAACCCGGAUUCUGGUGAUUCAUAAUAACUUUCGGAUCGAUCUUCGGAUCGAUGCAUCAUUCAAGUUUCUGCCCUAUCAGCUUUGGAUGGUAGGGUAUUGGCCUACCAUGGCUUUAACGGGUAACGGAGAAUUAGGGUUCGAUUCCGGAGAGGGAGCCUGAGAAAUGGCUACCACAUCCAAGGAAGGCAGCAGG